rnacentral:rRNA from 1 species
AACGAACGCUGGCGGCAUGUCUAACACACGCAAGUCGAACGAGAUCUUCGGGUCUAGUGGCGCACGGGUGCGUAACGCGUGGGAAUCUGCCCUUUGGUUCGGAAUAACAGUUGGAAACGACUGCUAAUACCGGAUGAUGACGAAAGUCCAAAGAUUUAUCGCCAGAGGAUGAGCCCGCGUAGGAUUAGCUAGUUGGUGUGGUAAAGGCGCACCAAGGCGACGAUCCUUAGCUGGUCUGAGAGGAUGAUCAGCCACACUGGGACUGAGACACGGCCCAGACUCCUACGGGAGGCAGCAGUGGGGAAUAUUGGACAAUGGGCGAAAGCCUGAUCCAGCAAUGCCGCGUGAGUGAUGAAGGCCUUAGGGUUGUAAAGCUCUUUUACCCGGGAUGAUAAUGACAGUACCGGGAGAAUAAGCUCCGGCUAACUCCGUGCCAGCAGCCGCGGUAA